AGGAUUAAGUAGAUGCCGGGGAAGAAGAAAAAAAGGAAGAGGAAGAAAGAGAAAACUUUCCAUUUUAGUAAUCACAUCACAUCACCACACACCAACACACACAAGCACCACACAGCCAGACACGCGCGCACGAUUCAACGAUUUCCCCGGUAACGCAGUGGUAGCGCGGGAGGGAAGAAAGUUGCUUAGAUUGCACAAUCUAGCAGAGACAGUCUGCUAAUCUGCUUUGCCUCUCGACCACUCUCGAUCGGUCCUUCACAUCCACCAGUUUUGGUACCGUCCGGAAAUCGGAACCACUUCCACAGGCGAGCAAGGAUCACGAACAGCCCAAGCCACACAAGGAUCAACGAGUUAUAUCACGAUGAAGAAGGAGGGCGUUCGUGCAUCCCCACACGGUGCCAGCAACACUCACCGUUAAUCCACCGAACUGUACCACACACACGGGCACACACGCUACUGGGAGG